rnacentral:rRNA from 1 species
UACGUAGGGUGCAAGCGUUGUCCGGAAUUAUUGGGCGUAAAGAGCUCGUAGGCGGUCUGUCACGUCGGCUGUGAAAACCCGAGGCUCAACCUCGGGCCUGCAGUCGAUACGGGCAAACUAGAGUACUGCAGGGGAGACUGGAAUUCCUGGUGUAGCGGUGAAAUGCGCAGAUAUCAGGAGGAACACCAGUGGCGAAGGCGACUUUCUGGCCUGUUCUUGACGCUGGAGGCGCGAAAAGCUAGGGGGAGCAAACGGGG